CUCUGGCUGACGAGACAAAAUAUGUCGAAACACUGGUGUCCUAGAA
rnacentral:hammerhead_ribozyme from 1 species